rnacentral:rRNA from 1 species
CCUACGGGUGGCAGCAGUGGGGGAUAUUACACAAUGGGGGGAACCCUGAUGCAGCGACGCCGCGUGGGUGAAGGAGUGCUUCGGCAUGUAAAGCCCUAUCGGCAGGGACGAAGCAAGACGGUACCUGACUAAGAAGCCCCGGCCAACUACGUGCCAGCAGCCGCGGUAAUACGUAGGGGGCGAGCGUUAUUCGGAUUCACUGGGUGUAAAGGGAGCGGAGACGGCCAUACAAGCCAGAGGUGAAAGCCCGGGGCCCAACCCCGGGACUGCCCUUGAAACUGCAUGGCUGGAGGGCGGGAGGGGCAGGCGGAAGUCCUGGUGUAGCGGUGAAAUGCGUAGAUAUCAGGAGGAACACCGGCGGCGAAGGCGGCCUGCUGGACGGCGACUGACGGUGAGGCUCGAAAGCGUGGGGAGCGAACAGGAUUAGAUACCCGAGUAGUC